rnacentral:rRNA from 1 species
GAUGAACGCUGGCUACAGGCUUAACACAUGCAAGUCGAGGGGAAACGACGGGGAAGCUUGCUUCCCCGGGCGUCGACCGGCGCACGGGUGAGUAACGCGUAUCCAACCUGCCUCUGACUGAGGGAUAACCCGUCGAAAGUCGGCCUAAUACCUCAUGGCAUCGUCUGCGGGCAUCCAACGACGAUUAAAGAUUUCAUCGGCCAGAGAUGGGGAUGCGUCUGAUUAGCUUGUUGGCGGGGUAACGGCCCACCAAGGCGACGAUCAGUAGGGGUUCUGAGAGGACGGUCCCCCACAUUGGAACUGCGACACGGUCCAAACUCCUACGGGCGGCAGCAGUGAGGAAUAUUGGUCAAUGGGCGAGAGCCUGAACCAGCCAAGUAGCGUGCAGGAUGACGGCCCUAUGGGUUGUAAACUGCUUUUAUGCGGGGAUAAAGUGAGGGACGUGUCCUUCAUUGCAGGUACCGCAUGAAUAAGGACCGGCUAAUUCCGUG